rnacentral:rRNA from 1 species
GACGAACGCUGGCGGCGUGCUUAACACAUGCAAGUCGAACGGAAAGGCCCUGCUUUUGUGGGGUGCUCGAGUGGCGAACGGGUGAGUAACACGUGAGUAACCUGCCCUUGACUUUGGGAUAACUUCAGGAAACUGGGGCUAAUACCGGAUAGGAGCUCCUGCUGCAUGGUGGGGGUUGGAAAGUUUCGGCGGUUGGGGAUGGACUCGCGGCUUAUCAGCUUGGUGGGGGGGUAGUGGCUUACCAAGGCUUUGACGGGUAGCCGGCCUGAGAGGGUGACCGGCCACAUUGGGACUGAGAUACGGCCCAGACUCCUACGGGAGGCAGCAGUGGGGAAUAUUGCACAAUGGGCGGAAGCCUGAUGCAGCAACGCCGCGUGCGGGAUGACGGCCUUCGGGUUGUAAACCGCUUUCGCCUGUGACGAAGCGUGAGUGACGGUAAUGGGUAAAGAAGCACCGGCUAACUACGUG